rnacentral:lncRNA from 1 species
UAUUCAAAAUUUAUAGCAAUCACUCUUUUUAAUCUUUCAAGAAUAAGUUAUGCUUUCUCUAAAUCUUUGAAAAAAUGUAUAGAAAUAUUAAUCAGAAAAUGAUUCAUUUGAAGCUCAAAUUCUUUCAAAAGCAUUUACAUUUUCUUUCUUUUAAGAAUCAUUUGAGUGAGCUGAAAUGUUUCUAGACUUAAGAUCAUUCACUCUUUUUAAUAAUAUAUGUAUAUAUUUUGAUGGAAGUCUUUAAUAAUGUAGGAGAGAAAAACAUAUAGAUGAUCAUUGAAGUAUAUAUAUUUAUAGAACUCAAUUUCUUAAUCAUAGUUUUUCAGCAAUGUAUACA